AGCGAACGCUGGCGGCAGGCCUAACACAUGCAAGUCGAACGGAUCCUUCGGGAUUAGUGGCGGACAGGUGAGUAACACGUGGGAACGUGCCCUUUGGUUCGGAACAACUCAGGGAAACUUGAGCUAAUACCGGAUGUGCCCUUCGGGGGAAAGAUUUAUCGCCAUUGGAGCGGCCCGCGUCUGAUUAGCUAGUUGGUGAGGUAAAGGCUCACCAAGGCGACGAUCAGUAGCUGGUCUGAGAGGAUGAUCAGCCACAUUGGGACUGAGACACGGCCCAAACUACUACGGGAGGCAGCAGUGGGGAAUCUUGCGCAAUGGGCGAAAGCCUGACGCAGCCAUGCCGCGUGAAUGAUGAAGGUCUUAGGAUUGUAAAAUUCUUUCACCGGGGACGAUAAUGACGGUACCCGGAGAAGAAGCCCCGGCUAACUUCGUGCCAGCCGCCGCAGUAA
rnacentral:rRNA from 1 species